AAAAAUCCUUUUUUUAUUUCUCGGAGUCGACUGAAAAGAAUCGAAUUAGGUUGAAGAAUCGAACACAGCAGCAUCUCCCUCCCCCAGCUAUCGGCGGCACCGGCACCGGCAGCGAACGAUAAGAACAGGUACCUCUCUCUCUCUCUCUCUCUCUCCAAUUAGGGGCCCUUCGUUUUAGCACUGUUUUUUUGGGGGGCCUAAAGCGGUGGCUUUAAUGGCUUCUGCUCAGGGCCGGCGCUGUCUCCAUGUUCUUUUCUCCUCUGUGUACGUAGUUCUCGUACUUUAACAACUAGGGUUGGGUCCCUUUCGAUGCACAAGACAAUGAAUUAAUUCCAUUCCUAUGUUUUUUUGCUGCCCGUGCAUGGAACGGGACACAACGCUAAUAUACAUAUCUGUAUGUAUCGUCGAUUUCCGCCCUAAGUAGAGACCGAAUCGUUGAUAAAGCUAUAAGUUUGUGUUUUUGAUAAUUUUUAUAAAGUUUUCAAACCGAAGCUGUGAUAACAAUGGGAUCCAAGAAUAAGCAAUCCAAGAACAAGGACAAGGAUUCGAAGACUGACGUUGCACGAGAUGAUGGGGGUACAAAGUUGAUCACGGACCCUAGGUUCGCGUCUGUACACUCAGACCCUAGGUUUGCAAAGUUCACACCGCACAAAGCGAAGGUCAAAAUCGACUCUCGCUUCGAACGCGUGUUUACAGACAAGAGCUUUUCUUCGUCCUCUGCGAAAAUCGACAAGAGAGGCAAGCCGAAAAAGGACACUCAGAAUCCGCUCAAGCGGUAUUAUCAGCUUGAAGAUGAGGAAGAAGAGAAGGAAAAGAAAAGGAUAGAAGAAGUGAAGGGCCGAGAUGUAGAGAUUGAUGAGGGAAGUGAAGAGAGUGACAGUGAGAGUGAGAGAGAAGAGGAAUUGAAGAAACCGGGCAAAAAAACGUCUAAUUUGGAGUUGAAAAACAAAUUGGAGGAGGAGGAAUCAGAAGAAGACAAGGAGGAGGAAGAGGAAGAUGGGGAUGAAGUUGUAGAGGCCAAUGACAACUCUUCCACCGAUACUACAGAUUCGGAGGAAGAAAAUGAGAUUGAUUCAGAGGAGGAGGGGGAUCUUAUACCGGAGGAAAAUGUUCCGGAUAUCGAUAAGGAAACUCAUAGACUUGCUGUGGUUAAUUUGGAUUGGAGUCACGUGACGGCAGUUGAUUUGUUUGUAUUAUUGAGCUCAUUUCUCCCUAAAGGGGGACAGAUUUUAUCUGUUGCCGUCUAUCCAUCUGAGUUUGGACUUAAGCGUAUGGAAGAAGAAGCAGUGCGUGGUCCAGUAGUCCUAUUUGAUGACAACAAAGAGCAGAAUGAAAGUGGUGAUGACCAUGAUGAUGAUGAUGAUGAUGAUAGUGAUGGUGAUGAUGAAAUCGACGUUAAAAAACUGCGUGAAUAUGAAUUAAGUAGGCUAAGGUACUAUUAUGCCGUCGUGGAAUGCGAUUCCAUUGCUACUGCAGAUUACCUUUACAAAAGUUGCGAUGGAAUUGAGUUUGAAAGAUCAUCAAAUAAGCUAGACUUGAGGUUUAUUCCUGAUUCCAUGGAAUUUAAACAUCCCCCUCGUGAUGUUGCAACAGAGGCCCCAGCAAAAUAUGAAGGAUUAGAUUUCCAGACUCGAGCAUUACAGCAAAGUAACAUUCAUCUCACAUGGGAAGAAGAUGAGCCGCAACGUGCAAAGGCAUUAAAGAGGAAGUUUAACGGCGACCAGAUAGCCGAAAUGGAAUUAAAAGAAUUCCUGGCUUCUGAUGAGAGUGAAUCUGACGAAGAUGAAAAUGAUGAUGCCAUGGAAGACAGACCUCAAAAGAAACAUAGGAAGCAGGAUAUGUACCGUGCUCUACUCCAGUCUGGUGAAGAUUCUGGCGCAGAUGAUGAAGAUGGUCAGGAUAUGGAGGUCACUUUCAACACUGGAUUAGAAGAUAUAAGCAAGCAUGCACUAGAAAAGAAGGAUAAGAAAUCGGAAACAGUCUGGGAUGCUCAACUCAGGAAGAGAAGAGAGAAAAAGAUGGCUAGGAAAAACAGCUCCAAGUAUUCAACAGAUGAUGAGACUAGUGAUAGCAAUAGAGAACCAAAAGAAGAUGUGGAUGAUUUUUUCGUCGAAGAACCGUCGGUUAAAGCAAGCAAAGAGGGUAAAGGUAAAAGUGACGAAAAGGGGAAGAAGAACGAGGAAACAGCUAAAGAAGCAGAAGCAGCAAGUGUAGCAGAGCUUGAGUUAUUACUGGCAGACGGGAACGGAGCAGACGCCAGCUUGAAGGGAUAUAAUUUAAAACACAAAAAGGUUGAGGGGAAGGGUAAGAAGGGAAGAAAGGAAAAAAGGAAAAGGGAAGAAGAAAUUCCCAAUGAGGGAAAAUUACCAAGUGUUGAUUACAAUGAUCCAAGGUUUUCAGCUAUCUUCACCUCACCUCUUUUUGCGUUGGACCCCACGGAUCCCCAAUUCAAAAGGAGUGCGACUUAUGCUCGGCAGUUAGCACAGAAGCGACACAAGGUUGACCAAGAAGUACUGGGGUCAAAACCAGCUCAGUUGCCUUCUGAUGACCUAAAGACGGAGAAAAAUGAGGCCGUACAGUCUGAUGAGAUGGCCUCAAAGAAAAAAGAGAAGUAUGAACUGUCUUCGCUUGUUAGGUCAAUUAAGAUGAAGUCAAAACAAGUUCAAAUACGCACCGAUAAUAAGAUCUCAGGAAAAACUGGAAAAUCGGGAUCCAAGGCCAGAUGGUAAAAGAAGGAUGUUUUCGAUUGGUUGGCAAGGUAGGCUGGAGUUCUGCUAAAUUAAACUCUGGAAGACAUGCUUGCUUUGGGUUUGUAAUGGAAGCAAAGCAAAAGAAAUGGAGCUGUUACUGUUUUUUUUUUCUUUUCCCUUUCUUAUAAGAUUUAUUUUAGUUUUAUUAGUUUUACCAUUAUAUAGAGCGGAUUUGCUGAAUGUUAGAAUCUUCGUUCUGCGGCACUAGGUUGGAAAUCAGAAUUUCUAGCCUGAAAGCUAAGAUCUAGAAAAGUUAAGAUUUUUGUUGUGCCAUUUUAGCUUUGUUUUAAGAUUUUGUCUCUCGCUUGGGUAAGUGAUGUAGCUGAGAAAAUUUUGAACGCAAGUUAUAUGAUUUCAUAU